GGGUCAGUAGGUUGGUCGUGCCACCGGUACGUACUGGUCUCACUGAUUCCUCCUUCCUGAAGAACCGUAAUGCCAUUAAUUUGGUGUUGCGGGGAAACAGGACUGUUACUUUGAAAAAAUUAGAGUGUUUAAAGCAAGCUAACGCUUGAAUACAUUAGCAUGGAAUAAUGAAAUAGGGCGACCGAUCCUAUUUUGUUGGUUUCUAGGAUUGACGUA
rnacentral:rRNA from 1 species